ACGCACGCUGGCGGCGUGCUUCACCCAUGCCAGUCGAACGGAAAGGCCCCCACUUUUUUGGUGGGGGUGCUCGAGUGGCGAACGGGUGAGUAACACGUGGGUGAUCUGCCCUGUACUUCGGGAUAAGCUUGGGAAACUGGGUCUAAUACCGGAUAGGACCAUGGUUUAGUGUCUCAUGGUGGAAAAAUUAUUGUUUUGGUGCAGGAUGAGCUCGCGGCCUAUCAGCUUGUUGGUGGGGUAAUGGCCUACCAAGGCGUCGACGGGUAGCCGGCCUGAGAGGGUGGACGGCCACAUUGGGACUGAGAUACGGCCCAGACUCCUACGGGAGGCAGCAGUGGGGAAUAUUGCACAAUGGGCGCAAGCCUGAUGCAGCGACGCCGCGUGGGGGAUGACGGCCUUCGGGUUGUAAACUCCUUUCGUUAGGGACGAAGCCGCACCUUUUUUGGGUGUGGUGACGGUACCUUUGUUAAGAAGCACCGGCUAACUACGUG
rnacentral:rRNA from 1 species